GGGAGUAGCUUCAUCUCGAUGAGACGAUCAACUUUUUUAUUUACGAAAAUUCUUGAUUCUGGUAGCUAUAAAUUAGAAUUUAAGAUAAAUAAUAUUUCUAGAAUCACCAAAAAGCGGCAGUGCAUCACAAUCGCUUGACAGAUCUCGUCAAACUAGAACGCCUCGUUCAUCAAGCGAAUCAUCAGAUCUUGGGAAGCGGCUUACGCAGAGGACAAACUCAUUGCCGACUAGAAGUUGUGUCGUUGACACUCGCUCCAAAACACUAAAUUCAACUACUGCAAAAUGUCUUCCCGACGUGACCGCCCACGUUCUUGUCAACAAUAAAAAUUCAAAAGGCGGCCUAAAACGUCCACUUGCUGCUUCUAUAGGUUUGUGAAUUUUUGUCAUAAAUCUAUUGUGUUUGCUGAGUCAUGAAGUAUCUUUUUAUAGGUAGGUAAUAUACCUAUGAUAUAUGACUAUUGUCAUAACCAGUCUUCACAUUGGGUUUCUUUAGAGGGGGCUUUGAUUGGUAACAUUCUAAGAGAAGAUUCUGCUUCCGUUCUAUGUUCGCAUAGAUCUUUUGAACUGUUCAACGGAUAUAAAUGCAGUUUUCAGCAAUAGAUAGACCGAUGGAAGAGAAAGUUUUAUAUGUAUACAAGUAUACACACACAUACAAAAAAUGUAUCAGAGAUUUA